rnacentral:misc_RNA from 1 species
UAGGCUUGACAUGCAUGGGAAACUCCUCAGAAACGAGGAGCCUCCUUCGGGAUCCAUGCACAGGUGCUGCAUGGCUGUCGUCAGCUCGUGUCGUGAGAUGUUGGGUUAAGUCCCGCAACGAGCGCAACCCUUGCCCCGUGUUACUAGCAGGUGAUGCUGAGGACUCUCGGGGGACUGCCGGCGUCAAGCUGGAGGAAGGUGGGGAUGACGUGAGUGACCUUUGC